rnacentral:rRNA from 1 species
UACGUAGGUGGCAAGCGUUGUCCGGAUUUAUUGGGUUUAAAGGGUGCGUAGGCGGCCCACUAAGUCAGUGCUGAAAUAUCCCGGCUUAACCGGGAGGGUGGCAUUGAUACUGGUGGGCUUGAGUACAGAUGAAGUAGGCGGAAUUGACGGUGUAGCGGUGAAAUGCAUAGAUAUCGUCAAGAACACCGAUAGCGAAGGCAGCUUACUAAGCUGUAACUGACGCUGAGGCACGAAAAGUGUGGGGGAUCAAACAGG